CAGAGACUGCGAGCGUUAUUCGGAUUCACUGGGCGUAAAGGGUGCGCAGGCGGCCAAGUGUGUGAGGCGUGAAAGCCCGGGGCUUAACCCCGGAAUUGCACCUCAAACUACAUUGCUAGAGCAUUGGAGAGGGUAGCAGAAUUCAUGGUGUAGCAGUGAAAUGCGUAGAUAUCAUGAGGAAUACCAGAGGCGAAGGCGGCUACCUGGACAAUUGCUGACGCUCAGGCACGAAAGCGUGGGGAGCAAAAGGGAUUAGAUACCCCUGUAGUCCACGCCCUAAACGGUGCACACUAGGUCUUGGCGGAUUCGACCCCACCAGGGCCCAAGCUAACGCGUUAAGUGUGCCGCCUGAGGACUACGGCCGCAAGGCUA
rnacentral:rRNA from 1 species